AUUGAACGCUGGCGGCAGGCUUAACACAUGCAAGUCGAGCGGGGUGAUGGUGCUUGCACUAUCACUUAGCGGCGGACGGGUGAGUAAUGCUUAGGAAUCUGCCUAUUAGUGGGGGACAACAUCUCGAAAGGGAUGCUACUACCGCAUACGUCCUACGGGAGAAAGCAGGGGACCACUUGUGACCUUGCGCUCAUGGAUGAGCCUAAGUCGGAUUAGCUAGUUGGUGGGGUAAAGGCCUAGCAAGGCGACGAUCUGUAGCGGGUCUGAGAGGAUGAUCCGCCACACUGGGACUGAGACACGGCCCAGACUCCUACGGGAGGCAGCAGUGGGGAAUAUUGGACAAUGGGGGGAACCCUGAUCCAGCCAUGCCGCGUGUGUGAAGAAGGCCUUAUGGUUGUAAAGCACUUUAAGCGAGGAGGAGGCUCUUUUGGUUAAUACCCAAGAUGAGUGGACGUUACUCGCAGAAUAAGCACCGGCUAACUCUGUGCCAGCAGCCGCGGUAA
rnacentral:rRNA from 1 species